UGGUCACAUCACAUUAAAACACUGGUUCCCAAAUGAUCACUGAAGUUAAGCAAUGAUAAUCCUGGUCAGUACCUAGAUAGGUGACAACUUGGGAAUACCAGGUGUUGUAAG